rnacentral:rRNA from 1 species
UACGUAGGGGGCAAGCGUUGUCCGGAUUAUUGGGCGUAAAGAGCGUGUAGGCGGCCAGGUAGGUCAGCUGUGAAAACUCGGAGGCUCAACCUCGAGACGCCGGUUGAAACCAUCUGGCUAGAGUCCGGAAGAGGAGAGUGGAAUUCCUGGUGUAGCGGUGAAAUGCGUAGAUAUCAGGAGGAACACCGAUGGCGAAGGCAGGUCUCUGGGCUGACACUGACGCUCAUGCACGAAAGCGUGGGGAGCAAACAGG